CAGAAAUUUAGAAAAUUGUCACAAAUGAAACAAAAUUCGGACACCAUUAUUCCAAAGGAUACUAAAUUAGGAAGCUGUUUAGAAGGUAGAUCCCUAAUAUACUUUUUUUGUACUUAAUAAUAGUAAUCCCACAGAAGGGCACCUUAUUAGGGAGCUACUAAACACAACUGCCUUAAAGGUAAAAAAUUAAGAAAUUAGGCUUUUUAAUAGUAUACUCCCUAAUUUGGUAUCAUUACGUGGGAUUGCCAUCAUUAAACGUACCAUAUUAGGGAUGUAUUUACUAAGCAACUGAAAAAGCUAAUUUAAGAAUGGCUAUUAUCUGUUUAGUAGAUAGUUGUCAUAAUUAAGGACUUAUCCACUAAAGCUGUUUCAAAUAUAGCUUCUUAGUUUGCUAAUCCUGUGUAUAUCACACACAUUCUAUAUGCAUACUAUACUGUGCAAAU